rnacentral:rRNA from 1 species
AUUGAACGCUGGCGGCAGGCUUAACACAUGCAAGUCGAACGAGUGGCGGACGGGUGAGUAAUGUCUGGGAAACUGCCCGAUGGAGGGGGAUAACUACUGGAAACGGUAGCUAAUAUCGCAUACCAUCGGAUGUGCCCAGAUGGGAUUAGCUAGUAGGUGGGGUAACGGCUCACCUAGGCGACGAUCCCCAGCUGGUCUGAGAGGAUGACCAGCCACACUGGAACUUAGACACGGUCCAGCCUCCUACGGGGGGCAGCCGUGGGGAAUAUUGCACAAUGGGCGAAAGCCUGAUGCAGCCAUGCCGCGUGUAUGAAGAAGGCCUUCGGGUUGUAAAGUACUUUCAGCGAGGAGGCGUUACUCGCAGAAGAAGCACCGGCUAACUCCGUGCCAGCAGCCGCGGUAAUAC